UACGUAGGGUGGAGCGUUGUCCGGAAUUACUGGGCGUAAAGAGCUCGUAGGUGGUUUGUCGCGUCGUCUGUGAAAUUCCGGGGCUUAACCUCGGGCGUGCAGGCGAUACGGGCAAUACUUGAGUGCUGUAGGGGAGACUGGAAUUCCUGGUGUAGCGGUGAAAUGCGCAGAUAUCAGGAGGAACACCGAUGGCGAAGGCAGGUCUCUGGGCAGUAACUGACGCUGAGGAGCGAAAGCAUGGGUAGCGAACAGGAUUAGAUA
rnacentral:rRNA from 1 species